rnacentral:rRNA from 1 species
CCUACGGGGGGCAGCAGUGAGGAAUAUUGGUCAAUGGACGAGAGUCUGAACCAGCCAUGUCGCGUGAAGGAUGACUGCCCUAUGGGUUGUAAACUUCUUUUAUAUGGGAAUAAAAUGUUCCACGUGUGCGCUUUUGUAUGUACCCUAUGAAUAAGGAUCGGCUAACUCCGUGCCAGCAGCCGCGGUAAUACGGAGGAUCCGAGCGUUAUCCGGAUUUAUUGGGUUUAAAGGGUGCGUAGGUGGAUGGUUAAGUCAGUUGUGAAAGUUUGGGGCUCAACCCUAAGAUUGCAGUUGAAACUGGCAGUCUUGAGUGCAGUAGAGGUAGGCGGAAUUCGUGGUGUAGCGGUGAAAUGCUUAGAUAUCACGAAGAACUCCGAUUGCGAAGGCAGCUCACUGGACUGCAACUGACGCUGAGGCUCGAAAGUGUGGGUAUCGAACAGGAUUAGAUACCCGAGUAGUC